rnacentral:lncRNA from 1 species
CGCAAAGCUGACUCAACAGCCAACCAGGGUCAAGAAUGGAAGGCACCAGUGCCAUUCCUCCCCACCAACCCCUACCCCGCGGAGUAGAAAUGAACUUGAGGGUGAGCGUGGGGGAAUUCUGCUGUGCUGCUGUUAAACGUCAGAAGAAUUGUUUUGGGGAAGAGGGAGACUUUUGGCCAGCCACAGCAGAGAGCCUCCAAAUUUUGGAACUCCAGUUGCAACCCCUUCUUUUUGGGGCGGCGGGGGUCCACCCCCCACCUCAUUCCAGCUGGUUACCGCAGGGCUGCCAAUCACAAGGGCUUGCCCCUCCUCUCCUGGGGCAGGCCUAGGACUCAAACCAGGCAACAGGACUCUGGUUCCUAGAAUCACCAAUGGGGAGAGUGCGUCUGACGGCCACAUCCUGGAAAGGUGGUCCAUAAACUCAACCAGUCAAGAGGAGGUGAUAACUGGGCCAGAACCCUGGUCUGUGAGACUCCCGAGACCAAGCUCAGGCACUGCUAACCUUAAAGACAUCUCUCCUGGGACCACCAGCCAGCCGAAGGCACAAAAGCCACCUCCCCUCCCGGGAGGUGCGGGCACCCAGCCUUUCCUGCAGGGGCGUGGCCAAUGUGUUCCACGAAAUCCCCCACCUCCAUUUUUAUUCUGCUUAGCUAUUCGGGGUCAGUGUCUGGGUCUUGAAACGGAAGAACCCCAACUUUGAACAGUGUUUCUAGAAGGAGUAGCGGGCCGAUCAUCAUAAAUGUUGCACUCGGGAAAAGCUCUUUAGUUGGAGACUUGAGAAAGGAGAGGUUUGUGCUCUCCCAGAUUCACGUGUUGAAGUUCUCAUGGGAUGGAUGGGAAUUAGAGGCGGGGCCUUCCAGAGUUUGAGGCCACCCCCACCCCCACCUUGAUGGGAUGAGUGCCCUCUGAGGAAGACAGAGGGCGCUAGUGAGCACACAAGAAGACCGGUGUGGCAACCAGGAGGAGGCCUCCCCAAGGACUCAACCUUGGGGGCACCCGAUCUUGGACGCCCCCGUCCCUGGGUAGAGCAGCCCGCCCUGAGGCACGGCAGCGUGGGGGCGGUUCGGUGAGAGUAUUGUGGGGUCAGGUCAGUUGGGGAAUGAAUGGGAGGGAGGGUCUGGAGCACCAUGGCCAGUGAACUUGUGUUAGACGCCCUCCAUUCCGGC